GACGAACGCUGGCGGCGUGCCUAAUACAUGCAAGUAGAACGCUGAAGCGAGGAGCUUGCUCUUCUUGGAUGAGUUGCGAACGGGUGAGUAACGCGUAGGUAACCUGCCUUGUAGCGGGGGAUAACUAUUGGAAACGAUAGCUAAUACCGCAUAACAAUGGAUGACACAUGUCAUUUAUUUGAAAGGGGCAAUUGCUCCACUACAAGAUGGACCUGCGUUGUAUUAGCUAGUAGGUGAGGUAAUGGCCCACCUAGGCGACGAUACAUAGCCGACCUGAGAGGGUGGUCGGCCCAACUGGGACGGGGGCACGGCCCAGGCUCCUACGGGAGGCAGCAGUAGGGAAACUUCGGCAAUGGGGGCAAGGCUGACCGAGCAACGCCGGGGGGGGGAAGAAGGGUCUCGGGUCGUAAAGGUCGGUUGUAAGUGAAGAACGGGUGUGAGAGUGGAAAGUUCACACUGUGACGGUAGCUUACCAGAAAGGGACGGCUAACUACGUG
rnacentral:rRNA from 1 species